ensembl:snoRNA
CUUCCUUGGCAUAACCGCCAAAUUGCCUGAGGAUAUAAGAGAAAGGACAUGACCUUGAAGGAAGAAGGGAUCUUACAAA